ACCCAGAUGACAAGUUUCAAAUAGAACGAAACGUGCGUCCUGGAU
rfam:Schistosoma rodhaini strain Burundi genome assembly, scaffold: SROB_scaffold0005442